UCAGAAAGGACCACAUAUAUUAAAUGAACAAGUAGAAGAUCCUCCGAAAAGAUAUCCUUACGUGAAGCCUACCGUUGAAAUGAAAGAUUCUGUUCCUAAUAAAACAGUGGAAGUGAAGGAUAAACAAACAUCCAACUCAGGUAAAUUUUACAAUACAGAUUUAACAGUGGAAAGA